rnacentral:rRNA from 1 species
UACGUAGGGGGCUAGCAUUGUCCGGAAUCAUUGGGCGUAAAGCGCGUGUAGGCGGUCCGGUAAGUCCGCUGUGAAAGUCGGGGGCUCAACCCUCGAAUGCCGGUGGAUACUGUCGGGCUAGAGUGCGGAAGAGGCGAGUGGAAUUCCUGGUGUAGCGGUGAAAUGCGCAGAUAUCAGGAGGAACACCAAUUGCGAAGGCAGCUCGCUGGGACGUUACUGACGCUGAGACGCGAAAGCGUGGGGAGCGAACAGG